CAAAACAAAUAAAUGGAAACCGAAACAAGCGGAGAUAUCCUGCAGUUACUUAAACAAAUUUUAUAAUUAUAAGAUUUGUUUAGUUUAUGAAUCUGAAGUGAUUUUUAGCAGCUUUAGUUAAAUUCUCAAGAUAUACAAGCCGUCGCAUAUUUACUUUUCUUUUGGUUUCUAUUUUGAAAAUGAAUUUUUCUCAACUUCUAAGCAGAAAUAUCUGGACUCUAUGUUUGUCUUGGAACUGUUAACUUUAUCAUUCAUCACCUGUUGACGUGUGCCUGGAGAGUAUCCUUACUUUGGCAGGAAAGAUCAGAUGAAAAUGGACUCGGUGAAGGAAAAGAAGCCGAGGAUCUCACUGGUGAUGAAGAAAUGGAAAACAGAAUUGUGAACGAAGGAAAGUUUCUCAGAAACUUGAUUGAAGAAGUUUAGAAUACAAAUGAUAAGAUAUCUGAUUCAGAGUC